rnacentral:lncRNA from 1 species
GGCUAACUACAGAGACCUGAAGACUCUAGCCCAUAACAGGAAUAGGAACAGUGAAAAUCAAGUUAUGCCACUGAAAAUGAUCAUGUAUAUGAUAAAAGUUUAAUAUAAAGUAGCUUAUAUUUUAUAAAUGUAAGCUAUUUAUAUAAAAUAUGAUUUAUAUAGAAUAUGCAAAAUUUUUUAAACACAAAAAAGGAAAAACAAACCCAUCCUCUCCUACAAUUCAACAACCACAAACCCACUAAUUCAGUUUAAAAAUAGCUCAAAGGACCUGAAUGAACAUCUCCCUAAAGAAUAUGUGCAAGUCUAUGAAAGGAUGCUCGAUGCUACUAAUCAUUAGCAGAACAGCAGAAUCCCCGUCAUCUAUGACUUUACACCCAUUUAAGAUGUCAGCUGAAGACCACAAUUCAAACCAUAAAAAAGACAGUUAGCUGUUGGGGACACAACAUAAAGGUCCUUGUGCCCAGAGAUCUCCAGGAAAACCAGCAAUAUUCAGCAUAUAGGAUUGUUCUCUCAAAGGGAUGGAUGUAAUUCCCCCUCUUCCAUCCAGAAAGCUGGGGAUGUAUGGGUUUGUGCAAUUACCUACAUGUGUGCUAGAGGUCAGAAGAGGGCACUGGAUCCCGAGGGCAUGCACUUACAGAUAGCUGUGGGCUUCCAUCUGGGUGCUGGGAACUGAACCUCAAGAGCAACAAGUGGUCUCAACUGCUGUACCAUCUCUCCAGCCCAAGGGGAGCCUCCCUAGCCCCACCUGCCCACCCUGCCCAAUGGGUAUGGAGUCUCUGUUUAGCAAACAGGAAAACUUGGCAUCAUUGAGUUUGUAACAGAUUCCUACUGCUUACCCAGGCUGCACUCAAACUGAUAGGCACAAGUGAAGUUUCUACCUCCAUGUCCUGAACAGCUAAGACUUACAGUGUUGCACUGUUCAGUGUGCUUGGCUUGGGGGCUAUCACACAACAGCUUAAAGCAGAGUCGGUGCUAUUGCUCUGGACGCUGGCUAAGAAGGUGAAUGUUAUGCUGGAGGUGGGAGGAAGGUGUUAAACUGAAUUCUUGAAUAGUCCUGACCACAGAUCGUCCCCAAUAAUGUCACACUUCUCUCCAGGCGUAUGAUUCACUGGGUAAAACAUUCUGAGAAAACAGAUAUGACAUCGAUUAA